UACGUAGGGGGCAAGCGUUGUCCGGAUUUAUUGGGCGUAAAGAGCGUGUAGGCGGCCAGAUAGGUCUGUUGUGAAAACUCGAGGCUCAACCUCGAGACGCCGAUGGAAACCAUUUGGCUAGAGUCCGGAAGAGGAGAGUGGAAUUCCUGGUGUAGCGGUGAAAUGCGCAGAUAUCAGGAAGAACACCCGUGGCUAAGGCGGCUCUCUGGGACGGUACUGACGCUGAGACGCGAAAGCGUGGGGAGCGAACAGG
rnacentral:rRNA from 1 species